ensembl:lncRNA
CCCCACCACCGUGCCUCCAUCACCACCACCUUCGCCGCCUUAGCUCACACACUGCCACACUUUCUCUGCCACCUUAACAGGCCGCUGAGCUAAUAUAUAUCACGCGGCAACUGUAGUGUUUUUUGGCAGAAUUUGUGUUCGUAAUGGUUUGUUUGGAAACAGGGACACACUAGUUAUACAUUCCAAAAAGUUUUCGACGCCGGGAAGGUGGACGCCGAUGUUUCAGCCUGUUUUGGAGGGUUUUAUUCUUUCUUUGUUCGCAAAAUACGGUUUUGAAGUAUUUAGACCGGACCGAACAUCGGGGCAUUGGCGGAGAUGGUUCUGCUGUUAACAAUAUGUGACUAAAGAAAAUAUUGCCGGGUUUCUGCUCCUGAGCCGAGCACGCAGCCUAACUUCGACCCAGACGCUAUCCUGCCAAAGUCCACACAAAUGUUCCUUUCCGCUGUCAUCUGUGCCAUUCCCAGACCAAGGCCAGUUGGUGAAGAAUGUUUAGCACAGGCCUGCUUCAACUUUCACCGCGUAUGAUUAAAAAACAAUGUAUACCAAAAGAAAUAGUAAAUUUCCAAUCUCCAAAUCAGGAAUGCUGGAGAGAAAGGUUAGGUUAACAGAACAAGUUUGUUUUGGACUCUCACCUUUCAUUUGAUCUUUUUAGGAAUAAAAUGUAGUGAUUAAGUUAAGCUAGCCCAAAAUCUCAUGUAUAACACUAAAAAGCCAUGUGUUUCUUAUUGCUAUAUCUAUUACACCCUCUUUAACUUACUUUUAAACUUUUUUCCUCGACUCCUUCUGUAAUCCUACUUUUUUAUAUUUUUUCCUUUUUUUUUACAGUAGCGCUUCUAAAGUCCAGCUGUCCAUGACGUCAUUAAUUUUACUCAUACUUUAUGGGUGCUCCAUGUGGGGAAGAAAGAAAAAAAACGGCAAGGAAACAAGGACAGAAGCAAAACAAUGUGUGGAAAGAGAGAAUGAGGGCAGGCAAAAGGGGGAGAAAGAACGAGGGAGUAAGAGAGAGAGGAAGAGAGGUUGGGGUGUUGCGGAAGGAUCUUUUUUUCAGUGCAUUGCAUGUAUAAUGAAUGAGGGGGCACUUUGCUUGAAACUCCAGCCUGAUGUUGUACUCUCCAGCGUUUGCUCGGCAGAGUGGGGCCUUGUGAUCUCACCACUCUUCUGGGCCCUGCCAAUAGAUGCUUUCACCUGGCAUUGUGGUUUCGACCCAGUGGAAAAACAAAUAACAGUGUGUGUGUGUGUGUGUGUGUCUGUCUGUGUGAAGGCCCUUUAAAG